GCACAGAUAGGUCACUUGGCAGAGCAUGAGACCCUUGAUCUCAGGGUCGUGGGUUCCACCCCAACAUUGGGCA